rnacentral:rRNA from 1 species
CAAUAGCGUAUAUUAAAGUUGUUGCGGUUAAAAAGCUCGUAGUUGGAUUUCUGCUGAGGACGACCGGUCCGCCCUCCGGGUGAGCAUCUGGUUCGGCCUUGGCAUCUUCUUGGUGAACGUAUCUGCACUUGACUGUGUGGUGCGGUACCCAGGACUUUUACUUGAAAAAAUUAGAGUGUUCAAAGCAGGCAAUCGCUUGAAUACAUUAGCAUGGAAUAAUAGAAUAGGACUUUGGUUCUAUUUUGUUGGUUUCUAGGACCGAAGUAAUGAUUAAUAGGGACAGUUGGGGGCAUUAGUAUUUAAUUGUCAGAGGUGAAAUUCUUGGAUUUAUGAAAGACUAACUACUGCGAAAGCAUUUGCCAAGGAUGUUUUUCAUUAAUCAAGAACGAAAGUUAGGGGAUCGAAGACGAUUAGAU